rnacentral:rRNA from 1 species
UAGCAAGAGGAUUUUUUAAAUUAAAUUUCUCGAAACCUAAGGAGCUACCUUAAUUUUUGGUUUAGCCGUAUAAGAGUGAGUGUGGCACAACUCUAUUUAAAAUUUAAGGUAGAAAUUAUAUGUUAUUCGUUUUAGGUGAUAGCUAGUUAUGGUAAAAAAAUAUAUAAGUAUUAGAUAUAAUUUUAUUAUAUAUAUAUAUAUAUAUAUUGUAUAUAAUAAUUUAUUUCUUAGUUAUGUGAGGGUAAGCUCGUAUAAAUUUAUUUAGCUAAAAGUUAGGUAUAAAUCUAGGCUUGGAGUUAGUCAUGAUACAAGAAUUUGUUAAAAAUACAUAUUGCAUAUAAAUUUUAUAAUAUAUUAUAAAUAUAUCAUUCAAUUAUUUAAUUAAGAUAUAAUUGAUUUAUGCUAAGAUGAGUAUUAUUAUGAUUUAAAAUUUAAAAAUAAAUUGAAUUUUUAAAAAUAAUCUAAUAAAUGUUAUAAAAUAUAUUCUAGGAACUCGGCAAAACUUAGCUUCGCCUGUUUAGCAAAAACAUGUCUCUUUG